rnacentral:tRNA from 1 species
AAAUAAGACGCAAAAAUUGCAUUCAGUUUCGACCUGACGGUUGAUGAUUAUUUUCAUCCUUAUUUA